rnacentral:misc_RNA from 1 species
UUAACGAGUGCGGCCCCUCCGGGGUGCCAACCUCCCACCCGUGUCUAUCGUACCACGUUGCUUCGGCGGGACCGCCCCUAUCCGUAGGGGCCGUCGGGAGCCUCGCUCCGGGCGUGCGCCCGCCGAAGACCCCACGAACGCUGUCUGAAGACUGCCGUCUGAGUGGAUUAUCGAAUCAGUUAAAACUUUCAACAACGGAUCUCUUGGUUCCGGCAUCGAUGAAGAACGCAGCGAACUGCGAUAAGUAGUGUGAAUUGCAGAAUUCAGUGAAUCAUCGAGUCUUUGAACGCACAUUGCGCCCCUUGGUAUUCCGAGGGGCAUGCCUGUCCGAGCGUCAUUGCUACCCUCAAGCGCGGCUUGUGUGUUGGGCCGACGUCCGCCCCGUUCGGGGGGGACGGGCCCGAAAGGCAGCGGCGGCACCGCGACCGGUCUUCGAGCGUAUGGGGCUCUGUCACCCGCUCCGUGGGACCGGCCGGCGCCAGCCUGGCAACCACCUUCUAU